CUCCUCCAAAUGAAGAAGACAGCCAUGAAGAUGGCACCGGUGAAGACCGAUGUUGUGGCCGCCAAGGCCACCGCGAACUUGGCCGACUUUGGUCUGCCCGCUCCGAUACCCUGACGCUGGAUCAUAAACAUGCUUUUCAGGAACCAAUCAUGCAUUGAGAUCCGAGGAAACAGGGAUGGAGACAACAUUAAAAACACGUCACCAACCAUGCCGGUGCUUCCCAAUAAAUUCCACCUCCUAUGAUGGGUGUACAGCAUAAUUUUUUUUCCUUGCGGCCGAUAGGAACUGCUGAACAACCACUAGGCAACCGUUUCACAUUCAUGUCAUCUUGGACAUCAAUUCUUCUUGUUAGAUGUAAGCCUCACCUGUGGAAAUAACGUGUGGUUUGGAUGCAUGCAUGGAUCCGUUCUCACUUCUAAAGUGUCUGCAAUGGAAAAUUAGUUGCAUC